UCCCGUGUGGCUCAGUUGGUAGAGCAUGGCGCUUGCAACGCCAGGGUCGUUAGAUUCCCAUGGGGU
rnacentral:tRNA from 1 species